rnacentral:rRNA from 2 species
GAUGAACGCUGGCGGCGUGCCUAACACAUGCAAGUCGGGCGAGAAACUUACAGAUGAAAUUACGAUGGAUUCAGUAGGCGGAAAGCGGCGGACGGGUGAGUAACGCGUAGGCAACCUGCCCCUUUCAGAGGGAUAGCCAUUGGAAACGGUGAUUAAUACCUCAUAAAGCUUUAUCUUCACAUGAAGGAGAAGCCAAAGAUUUAUCGGGAAGGGAUGGGCCUGCGUCUGAUUAGGUAGUUGGAGGGGUAACGGCCCACCAAGCCUACGAUCAGUAGCCGACCUGAGAGGGUAACCGGCCACAUUGGAACUGAGACACGGUCCAAACUCCUACGGGAGGCAGCAGUGGGGAAUAUUGCACAAUGGGCGAAAGCCUGAUGCAGCAACGCCGCGUGAAUGAUGAAGGCCCUAUGGGUCGUAAAGUUCUGAUCUGAGGGAAGA